rnacentral:rRNA from 1 species
AUACAUGCAGUCGAGCGGAAGAUGGGAGCUUGCUCCCUGAUGUUAGCGGCGGACGGGUGAGUAACACGUGGGUAACCUGCCUGUAAGACUGGGAUAACUCCGGGAAACCGGGGCUAAUACCGGAUGCUUGAUUGAACCGCAUGGUUCAAUUAUAAAAGGUGGCUUUUAGCUACCACUUACAGAUGGACCCGCGGCGCAUUAGCUAGUUGGUGAGGUAACGGCUCACCAAGGCAACGAUGCGUAGCCGACCUGAGAGGGUGAUCGGCCACACUGGGACUGAGACACGGCCCAAACUCCUACGGGAGGCAGCAGUAGGGAAUCUUCCGCAAUGGACGAAAGUCUGACGGAGCACCGCCGCGUGAGUGAUGAAGGUUUUCGGAUCGUAAAACUCUGUUGUUAGGGAAGAACAAGUACCGUUCGAAUAGGGCGGUACCUUGACGGUACCUAACCAGAAAGCCACGGCUAACUACGUGCCAGC